CACCGCGGUUAUACGAGAGGCCCAAAUUGAUAGGCAUCGGCGUAAAGGGUGGUUAAGACCCUGCUAAAAUAAAGUCGAAUGUCUUCAAGGCUGUUAUACGCACUCGAAGAUGAGAAGCUCAACUACGAAAGUGACUUUAAGAACUCUGACCCCACGAAAGCUGUGACA
rnacentral:rRNA from 2 species